GGGUCCACGGAGAGUUGGACGCGCCAGUGAGAGAGAAUAAAAAGAAAUAACAUGUUUUGAAAUAGACGCAUUGGAAUAUAAAAUCAACUGAAUCUCAUAAGAACUAAACCUAUGAUAAAAGAUAAAAAAAAAAUAAAGAAAGAAAGAAAACAAAGGAAACGAUUGUAAGAGUGUAUAGUGUACGAAGAGAAGAAAACAAAGAGAACAAAAAAAGAGUGAAAAGGGGGAAUUAAAGCAGAAAUAGAUACGAAAACGAAAAAAAUAGAAUAAAAGACGAGAAAGAAAACACGAGACAACAAGAAACGAAAACGACGACAAGCCAAGAUGAUGCUGUCGUUCAGGACGGAAUGCACCAUCUUGCUCAAGGCAGCCAAACCCGCCCCUCGACCCCGUCCCAAGGAAGCCGAGAAAGGUGAGUUGAGUCGUUGAUUUCCCUCGCCAGCGUCACCUUCUGCAGGUAGGAGGUGGGAGGUAACAUCAGGUAUCAGGUACGCGACGCCCCGUGCUCAUUUAGGUGGCUGAAAUUUAGGCGGGGGGAGAGAGGG
rnacentral:lncRNA from 1 species